UGAUUACAGUGUCUAAAGUCCGUGGCCGCGCCGUGCGAGCACGGGCGCGGGAGAAGGACUUUAAGACACGCCCGGACAGGAGCAAGGAGAGGGGCGGAGCCCCACGGGAAUGCGACUGUCUGGGCGCAUGACGGGAGGCGCGAAGCGCCUUUAAAGAUCA
rnacentral:sRNA from 1 species